UAAACCCUCCCGGAUGUUUCAGGAUUUGCUAGAUCUGCUGGAGAGGGGCUAGGGGUAGGGAUGGGAAGUGCUCUUGCUAGAUUUAAAAAGGACUGAGAGUGGAAGACUCCACGUGGAACAAGAAGGAUGGAGAAUGCCUGCGUGGCCGUAGCCCUGAAAGUGUUGCACCCCUGCCCCAUCUCUAGAUGUUAUCAGUGACAAACUAGAAAGCUUCCAGAGCAGAGCCCCUAAGAAUUGGGGGAACGCAGAGAGGAGGCAUGCAACCCUUUACAGUGAGGAGGACAGAAGCUGCCUGUUAAAGGCCUUGGGAUGCAGAACUCUCCAUCCUUUGUAAAGUCCAAUCUGGUCCCUGGAAAUCCGGUGCCAGCUCCUUAGCCAGCAGCCACCAGGAGGCUCUGAGCAUCCAGUCCUUCACACUCCUACCUCAGAAGACUUCUAUCUGACUUGAAAUCCUGACUUGAGGUGCCUUGACACUCAAAGAGCAGCUUGUCCUGCCAGGAAUUCUCCCAGGUCCAGUCAAGUGGGUGAAAGACGGCAGUCAUUGUCUUCAAGAGCCUGGGCAACCGGAGGGGCCACAAGUGUAGGCUGUGAUCCUAGUUGGCUUUCUGAAUCAAAGUGGGUUGACCAGCUCCUAAAGAGUUCAGGGCCGAUAACUAUCUUAAUUCAACCUGCUGUAAACAGACAAAUCACUUCUUGCUUUUGCACAGAGUACUUGGGGGGAUGGUGGAUGGUCUGGCAAAGACCAGACUUGAGGGAGGGAUGGACCUUUAAAAAAAAGAAAAAGUUCAAAUGAGGCAAAACCAGGAAAAGAACAAAAGUGGAUUUUCUGUGUCCCCACAAAACAGAUAACAGGGAGUUAUGAAGGACAGCCAGGGUUCCCGCUGCAGUAGGGAGGCUCUGCACCUAAGUCCAGAGGAGGGAACCAGCAGUGGAACAGCAGAAAGAUAUAUUUGUUGAGGAGACAGAGGUCCUCACCACUGAGGUGCCAGGUUAGCCUGACUAGGCCCUGCACUUUUCUUCUUAACUUGCCAGUUCCUCAAAUCCACACAGCCAGUGAGAGGAUACCUCCUUCCUCAAAUGGCCAAUGCGGCGGAUAAAGAUAACUCACACAGAGCCCCGUGGACACACCCACAGUAGUGGUAGUGGGUGCUGCAGAAAAUGAGACAAUUGGAGGUGAUGGGUGCUAGCAGGAGCCUGGUGGAGAGCCAAUGCCAGGACAAGUUGUUUGCAGGAACCCUGCUUGAAAGCCAGAAGAAGAGAGACACUUUCACCUGAGCUGCAGGGUGUGCUGGUGUUUGUAGUGGAGCAUCAGUGGCUGGAAAUCUUCAAAAGGGUGAGAAGCUGGGUACCCCUGUGUUGCUGGCCCCUGGAUACAGGAAAGGGAGAGUUGGCUGAGGUCAGCAGGGAUGCCUCUUUCUACCUGUAGUGUGAAAAGGGAUGGGGGUAUCUCUGAAUGACCAUACAGCUCUGGACUUGACCUGGCUGGGGCAACCCUCCACAGACUUUAGGUCUCCCAGCCUAAAACCACUGGAACAAAGAAACCCCAUGAAUUUCCUAGCUAACAGCAGAAAGGAAAAAUUCCCCAUGUAUAGUGAAAACACAGGAGAUAAGAGGCACAGGUUUGGGUACAUGCCUGGUAACUUCAGGAGCCUGCACUUUGCCCCUGGAAAACUUGUAUAACAUUUCUUUUCUCUAUCUACUUAGCAUCUGCUCAUUAAUAAUGCAGCGCCCCAAAUGCUCUUUGUUUUGCUACACAGGCAUCUGUAGACAUAAACUACGCUGCCUUUGAGGAGGAAUUUUAGCACAACAGAUUUCCAACUAUUUAAAAACCCACCUUUAACCCCCAUUUGAAAAAGAAGAGAAACAAAACAAACAAGACCCCACAUGCUUAGCUUCAAAGAUGUUUGUUUGGGUGGAUACAACUCCAAAGACACUAGUUAAUUGGCUAUAGGCAAUUCUUAUACAAGGAAAACCUGCAUAAAGUCUUCUCUACUUUAAAAAUCAAGACGAGAAAAUACCUAAUGUUGGAAAAAAACAUGCUUAGAAUGGUUUUAGUAAAAAAAAUUAAAUUGUGCAAUGACAGAACUUGUAUUAAAACUAAGUAUCACUAAAAUCUAUGAGUCUGAAAUCGGCGAAAAUCCUUUAAAACAUGAACUGUUAGGGAAACUGUGCAGUUUUUGUUCCCUAUCAUAAAAUGUAUCCUCCCUACUCCUCUA